AUUGAACGCUGGCGGCAGGCCUAACACAUGCAAGUCGAACGAGUGGCGGACGGGUGGGUAAUGUCGGGGAAACUGCCUGAUGGAGGGGGAAAACCACUGGAAACGGUAGCUAAUACCGCAUACCCUCGGAUGUGCCCAGAUGGGAUUAGCGAGUAGGUGGGGUAAAGGCUCACCUAGGCGACGAUCCCUAGCUGGUCUGAGAGGAUGAUCAGCCACACUGGAACUGAGACACGGCCCAGACUCCUACGGGAGGCAGCAGUGGGGAAUAUUGCACAAUGGGCGCAAGCCUGAUGCAGCCAUGCCGCGUGUAUGAAGAAGGCCUUCGGGUUGUAAAGGACUUUCAGCGGGGAGGCGUUACCCACAGAAGAAGCACCGGCUAACUCCGUGCCAGCCGCCGCGGUAAUAC
rnacentral:rRNA from 1 species